AGUGGCUCUGCUUGGUUCUUGUGAGCGGUCGGCUGUUAACUGACUGGUCGUAGGUUAGAAUCCUACUU
rnacentral:tRNA from 1 species